rnacentral:tRNA from 1 species
AGUCUUUUAGUUUAUUUAAAAACAUUAAAUUGCAAAUUUAAAAAUGAGUUAAUUUCUAAGACUU